UACGAAGGGUGCAAGCGUUACUCGGAAUUACUGGGCGUAAAGGGUGCGUAGGUGGUUCGUUAAGUCUGAUGUGAAAGCCCUGGGCUCAACCUGGGAAUUGCAUUGGAUACUGGCGGGCUGGAGUGCGGUAGAGGGUAGUGGAAUUCCCGGUGUAGCGGUGAAAUGCGUAGAUAUCGGGAGGAACAUCCGUGGCGAAGGCGACUGCCUGGACCAGCACUGACACUGAGGCACGAAAGCGUGGGGAGCAAACAGGAUUAGAUACCCCGGUAGUUCCU
rnacentral:rRNA from 1 species